UUUCACUGAUUGGUAAUUGGUAAAAUGUAAGUUUAGAUCUAAUAUUGUAUUUGCUACUGAGUGGAGAGUUCCUGCUUGAUAAUGAAGACAACACGCAAACAGCUGCCUCAAGAGAGAGAAAGGGAGGUUCCUGACCUGUCAGAAACCAACAUAAAUCCUGCACUCAAACUGACUUAAGACAGUUUGAGUUUGCUUGCCUCAUUAGUUAUUAAGCGGUCCUAACUAACAAAGUGACCAUUUCUGGAGUAAUUUCAGUAUAAGAAACAUGGAAUUUCUAACAUCUACCCCUAGACUGCUGUAAGGAAUGAAUGAUAAUGUACAUAACUUGCUUAGCACAGUGCUCAGCAAAUAUUGAUUCUGUAAAAGUUAGUGUAGUAGGACCGGUAACCAGACUGCAGUGGAUGAAGAAAAAAAUGGAAGAUGAAGAGAGAAACAGAAAAAUCAAGCAUGUGGGAAGCAUUGGAUCCCUGAUGGGAGCAUGAAAGGCACCAAACCUAGGCAUAUCACAGGAGACCUGGGCCCUGGUCCCAAUUCUUGCAGGAACAGAAAGAAAAGCUUAACGAUGCCACCUCUCCCCCAGGCCUCAGGUUCCUAUAAAUUAAAGAUUUGAAUAAAAUGACCAC